UACGUAGGGUGCAAGCGUUAAUCGGAAUUACUGGGCGUAAAGCGUGCGCAGGCGGUUUUGUGAGUCUGUCGUGAAAUCCCCGGGCUCAACCUGGGAAUGGCGAUGGAGACUGCAAGGCUAGAGUUUGGCAGAGGGGGGUAGAAUUCCACGUGUAGCAGUGAAAUGCGUAGAUAUGUGGAGGAACACCAACGGCGAAGGCAGCUCGCUGGGACGGUACUGACGCUAAGGCGCGAAAGCGUGGGGAGCGAACAGG
rnacentral:rRNA from 1 species